CCGAUGGAGGCAGCGGCGGGGUCGGAGGGGGGCGACAAAUGAUAAUGAUGAUGGUCGUAUAAAUAAAACAGCAUUAGAGGGAUGGCGAAGGGAUGGGGAUAUUCUCCCUCAAGAUCUGGCGACUUUUGCAACUGUUUGCUCGUUUAUCGUUCGCUGUCAGUCAGCUCAAAGGGGGCAAUUAACGCUCCCCACAACAACAAGAGCCAUAGCCGUGGCUGCAGGGGGAGAAGCCGGGAAAUCGGGCGACGGAAUAGGGGAGUAUAUAGACAAAAAGCGGGGAUAUCGGCGACAUAUUGGCGACGCCAUUUUGACGCCGUCCGUCCGUUUGUACGUUUGUUCGUUUUUCGCACGCAAAAGGACAACAUCGCCUGUCUGCCCGUCCCUCUCAGACACUCAAUUGCCGUCUCUGUCUGGCGACAAACAGAACACACUAAACUGACGCCGCCGCUGAAAACCCCCUUCAUUCGCCGCCCCUUUCGUCUAAUGUUUUCGUACUUUGUGGUACUCUAGUUUCGAUAUAACUCAAGCUGUUUCAAGCAGUUUAACUUAAUUCUUCAGACAAAAAAUUGUUUUUAAGUAAAUGAUAAGAUUAUAGAUGCAAGAAAUAGUACUGAGUACGAGUAAAAGUUUCAAUUAUUAACCUCCACCUCUACAAAAUAAAGAGUGGUUCCUCAUAUAUAGACUAAUAUUGCCUGUUUGAAGAUGCCAAGAGUAUUUUAUAUUCGCUAUUCCUAUGAUUAGCUUGACAUUUUUAUUCUUUCUGCUGUUUCCACUGAAUUUAUUGCGUUAAUUUAUUGCGUGCCGUUUCCUAAAGCCUGUGAUGGGUACGAUUUGCAUAUUAUUGCAACAUUUGAAACAAUUUACGCGACGGCCCAUAAACCCCACUGUUUCUGAAAAUGCUCCUUUCAUAAUUUGGCCGCAACUCAAAGUUCAAAAGAGGGCCGAAAUAAGAAUUAAAGAAAUAGUGAAUCACCCAAAAAUAAUACGUAAUUUUUCUGCUUCUUCUAUUGAGAGAACCUAACAUUCGAUCAUGUAUAAUUAGGACCCUAUUCUUACUUUCGAUUUGGCAGCAGCACACGAAUUUCAUUUUGCAUUUAUUUUUAAUUUUGCAUUAUGCGCUCGGCAGAAAAUGUGGAAAAAUGGCAUAGGGCUAAAUAGUACUGGCUUUCUUACAAGCACUUGGCCAAAAACACUUUUAGAAAAAUCAACGCCACCGGCAAAGAGCCGAAAAGAAAACAGGGAAAAGCGCCAGCGAAAAUAAAGGGAAAAAUUGCAUUGAAAUUGAAAAUAAUUGCCACGAGUCUGGCAAAGAAUUUUUCCUCGCAAACACGGGGGUUGGGAAAAAGGGUGUUUUGGCUGCUGGCUGUGGCAUGCAGUGCAACAUAAAUCUUUGGCAAAAGGAAAAAGAUCGAGAAAUAGAACGCUGCAAAGUGCAAAUCCCCGGCAGGGGGGAAGAAUCGGGAAAAGUUUGGGGCAAAAAGGCGUCUCUCUCGCUAAAAGCCAAAAUGUGUUUUAUUGACAAAUUAAUUGCAGGCAGUGCAGCAAUUAAAAUUGUUGCUCUUGCUUCACUCUGGGCAACAAUAACAAAUUAAUUUUGGCAUGCUCAAUGCAAACAUGUGAGUUUAAUUUACCUUUGAUGCCGUGUUUUUUUGCUGGUUUCGGCUGUUCGCCCAGAGCCGCUUAACUGUCACAUGUAAGCAGAGUCUGGCUCUUUGGAUCGAAGGUCACCGGCAAGUGGCAUCACCUGUUUGUGAGGCCCAACCUAAUUAUCACCCAAGUUGCUGGCAGAUUUCUUCGGGCGUGGGUGUGACCCACGCGUCAUUUGGAAGACCGUCUAUGUCUGGGCCACUGGAAUUGAAAUUGAAACUGAAUCUGAAACUGAUUCCCCCAACCAAGUCUCGUCAAACGACUUGCGGCAUCGUGCCGCUGGCAAUUAUAUUCCAUGUUGCCUUUGCUAUAAAUUAAUUAAAUGGAAAAUAAUCGUGUGCAGCCAGUCAGGCAACAAACAGCGUUCUUCAGAGACACCGAUGCCGACAAACGGAGCCGAGUUCUAAAUGCUUUUGUAAUUUUAAUUGCUCCGCGCCAAAUGUUGUGCUGCCAAAUAUGGCAGCGGUAACUGAAACGCGCAAGUGCAGCACAUCCACGCGAUACAGAUACAACUGGAAGUAGCUGCCUAUGUUGCUAAUGUCUCAGUUUAACCAACUUCCUCCUCGCUUUUAUGCAAAAAGCGAGUAAUGCAACAUGGAAGGUUUCCCCACAGCACGACAUUCAUUGCCACCCGCUUCGUAUCUGUAUCUUUGGCUGUCGCCGAAGUUGUAUCUUUAUCUGAUGUAUCUGCAUCUGCAUCUGGCUGUUGACGACUUAGCGUUUAAUAGCUGCCUUUGAAUUAUUUAUGUGACUUGGUGCCUCAAGUGCGACGUGUGAUCUUGACGAUGAAUGCCAAUCGAUUCGGCAAUGUCCCUGAUUGAGAAGUCAUGGAAUUAGAAAAUAUCUUUGAGUUGGAGAAUAAUAUUUGCUAAUUAUUACCUUUCAAGGCGGUGGGUAGUAUUAUAAAAAAGCUUCAACACAUUGGGUGGUAUGUGAUUUGUGUGAGCGACUUUGUUAGGGUUGGUAAAAAAUCUAUCAAUAUUAUUGAUUAUUGUAAAAUUUAGCAAACUUCUAUUGUUUAGGCCAACC